AGAUAGAGUUUCACUCUUGUCACCCAAUCUGGAGUGCAAUGGCAUAAUCUCGGCUCACUGCAACCUCCGCCUCCUGGGUUCUAGCGAUUCUUCUGCCUUAGCCUCCUGAGUAGUUGGGAUUACAGGCAUGCGCCACCACGCCUGGCUAAUUUUUGUAUUUUUAGUAGAGACAGGAAAAAUUGGAAAACAAAAAAAAAGAAAGAAAGAAAAAAAAAUCUUCGAGUGUAGACUCAGAAAUCUGUGUUUCUAACCCCUGCUCCAGGGCAUUCUGAUGCCGUAGCUCUGCUCCAGUGAGUAGGGAAGGCCAGCCAGUGAAGGCUCACAUUGCUGUGGGUGGCAGAAGAGGACAGCAGGAGAUUCUGACCAGGUAGAUCUUGAAGACAGCAGCAGCUUGACAAAUGGAGGUUUCCAGGUAGAGGGAGCAGCUUGCACAAAGGCACAGAGGUGAGAAAGUUAGGGGUAUGUUCUGGAGAUGGCAAAUAGAGUGGGUGAGGUCUGGGUAUGGAGGGGCUGUGCAAGAUGAGGCUGGAAAGAUUCAAAUCGAGGAGGGCUUUGAGUGCUAGGCUAAAGCAUCAAAAUGUACUCUUGCCUCUGGCAUUUAUUUGCAAAAUAGUGGUACACGAGGUAAUUGUAGGUGAUAUGGUACAUGUAGGGAGAACAUUCUCUUUUCAGUCCCUUCUAAAGUGCUUACAUUGAGGAGAAAGUUUCAAUUAGUUGCUAGUCUAUCUUUAACACCC
rnacentral:lncRNA from 10 species